rnacentral:rRNA from 1 species
GUCCACGCCAUAAACGAUGAGUGCUAGAUAUCAGAUUUAUAUUUGGUGUCGUAGCUAACGCGUUAAGCACUCCGCCUGGGAAGUACGGUCGCAAGAUUAAAACUCAAAGGAAUUGACGGGGACCCGCACAAGCAGUGGAUCAUGUGGUUUAAUUCGAUGCUACGCGAAAAACCUUACCAGGCCUUGACAUGGUGAUAAUAUCCCUAAGAAACUAGGGAGUCGGUUCGGCCGGAUCAUCACAGGUGUUGCAUGGCUGUCGU